GCCUGGGUGGCUCAGUCGGUAAAAGCACCUGACUUCGACUCAGGUCCUGAUCUCCCAGUCUGUGGGUUCGAGCCCCACGUCGGGCU